rnacentral:rRNA from 1 species
AGUCUGGUGCCAGCAGCCGCGGUAAUUCCAGCUCCGCAGGUGUAUAUCUAUGCUACUGCGGUUAAAAAGCUCGUAGUUGGAUCUGCGAGCUCGGAACUGGUUGGCUCACUGAGUUCAAACUGGUCUCCGGCGCUUUAUUGGCUGGUUUUCCCUUGAUGCUCUUAACCGGGUGUCUUGGGUGGCUAGCACGUUUACUUUGAAAAAAUUAGAGUGCUCAAUACAGGCGUAAAGCCUUGAAUAGUGGUGCAUGGAAUAAUAGAAUAGGACCUCGGCUCUAUUUUGUUGGUUUUCGGAACGCGAGGUAAUGAUUAAGAGGGACAGACGGGGGCAUUCGUAUUGCGACGUUAGAGGUGAAAUUCUUGGAUAGUCGCAAGACGGACGACUGCGAAAGCAUUUGCCAAGAAUGUUUUCAUUAAUCAAGAACGAAAGUUAGAGGUUCGAAGGCGAUCAGAUACCGCCCUAGUUCUAACCGUAAACGAUGCCAACUAGCGAUUCGCAGGCGUUAAACAACGACCUUGCGGGCAGCUUCCCGGAAACGAAAGUGUUCGGGUUCCGGGGGAAGUAUGGUUGCAAAGCUGAAACUUAAAGGAAUUGACGGAAGGGCACCACCAGGAGUGGAGCCUGCGGCUUAAUUUGACCCAACACGGGAAAACUCACCCGGCCCGGACACCGUAAGGAUUGACAGAUUGAGAGCUCUUUCUUGAUUCGGUGGGUGGUGGUGCAUGGCCGUUCUUAGUUGGUGGAGCGAUUUGUCUGGUUUAUUCCGAUAACGAACGAGACUCUAGCCUACUAAAUAGUGGGCGGAUUCUUUCUGUCCGCAACACUUCUUAGAGGGACAAGCGGUGUUCAGCCGCACGAGAUUGAGCAAUAACAGGUCUGUGAUGCCCUUAGAUUCCGGGGCUGCACGCGCGCUACACUGAAGGAAUCAGCGUGCUUUCUGACCUUGCCCGAAAGGGCUGGGUAACCCGAUGAAAAUCCUUCGUGAUUGGGAUAGGGACUUGCAAUUAUUUCCCUUGAACGAGGAAUUCCCAGUAAGUGUGGGUCAUAAGCUCGCGUUGAUUACGUCCCUGCCCUUUGUACACACCGCCCGUCGCUGCCCGGAACUGAGCCGUUUCGAGAAGAACAGGGACCGUCGUUGAAGGGCCUUAACGGGCUUUUCUCUGAUAGAAACUGUU